CGGACAAUGGAACUUAAUCCUAACUACAUUAAUGAACCCAAAAAUCCCAUUAAGGCAUUCAGCAUUAAUAACUAUAAAAAAAAAGACAAAACACACAGAAAUAUAAAGAUAGAAUAAUAAAAGGAUUUCCACACAAAUAAAACGGAGGCAAGAAGUAUGAUAAA